CGAUGAUUGGCGGUCUAGCCGGCCAGUCCGCUCCCGAACGUGGCUGCGUGUCGGCUCGCCGCGCGGCGCAGGCGGGAGUGUGAGAUGGAGCGUGGGGCGGUGCGGCGGCUCGCGGCGCGGCUGGGGCUGCGCGACCCGGCGGUCAUCAGAAAAGCUGAAGAGUACCUGCGGCUGUCCCAGGUGAAGUGCACAGGGCUGAUGGCUCAGAUGACGGCAACAAGCAGUGCUGUGAUGUGCCUGGACCUGGCAGCCAGCUCCAUGAAACAACCAGCUGACAAGAGCUAUUUUGUGAAGCUCUCUGGUUUGAACAAGACAACGUACCAGAGUUCCAUGAAGUCUUUGGAAUGUUUGCUAGAGGUGAACCCCAGACUGGGGAUGCGAGACUUGGCUGUGCAGUUCUGCUGCGUGGAGGCAGUGAACACUGCGUCAAGAAUACUGCAGAGGUAUGAAUCCAGUCUCUCUGAAGCACAGCAAAUGGACCUCGAUUUCUCAAAACCACUUUUUCUAACAGCAGCACUAUUCACUGCAUGCAGGUGUUUGAAGCUAAAAGUGGACAAAGCUAAAAUACUGUCUACAUCUGGGGUGAAAAAAGCAAUAUUUGACCGGCUGUGCCAUCAGCUGGAGAAGAUAAGCCAGCAGCUCAGCAGAUUAACAAGCGUAAGCCUUGCUCUUUUGAUACUAAUUCAGCCGUUACCUGACAUGUCCCUCCACAUACCAGUGGCAGACCUGAGGAACCUUUCCUGCCCAGCGUUGAACCUGCAGCUCUCGCCACUCCUUUGUGUGGAGGAAAAAAAUUGAAAUACAACGCACAUCUCCCUGUCCUUGUAUCUCUGCUCCUUCCUGCUUAUCUACUUUCUUCGUGCUUUCAUUCUUACUCUCCCGCUGACAGUACCGCUGCUUCACCCUGUCCUCAUGCUUCAUAUCGUGAAGCUUUCUGGAUUGUGCUGUCUGAACCCAAACUAAAAUCUGCUCUCUCCCCAGGCAUGGACCUAUGCAGUGCCCUGUAAAAAACCCAAAACCUUACCCCACCAGUGAGGCAGCUCAGGGCCCCUGGGAGUUUCUGUAUCAGUUCUGAGAAGAGUGUGCAUCUGUAUAUCUGCACAGCCCCAGAUGUGUUGGGAGCAGCUGUAAUGCAAAGUGUGGAAAUGGGCUGCAAAGGGAAGCAAUAACUGAUAAUCCUGCCUGAGUAAUCCAGAAGAGUAGCAGAGUGGUUUGGGGGUAUAAACACGGUGGAUGGUUGUGGUUCCAAACGCGGCAGCAGUGCUGGUUAAAGUGCCUGUGAACCCGUGCAGCUGGAGCACCGGGCUGGGCCAGGGAACCUCUGACUGGAAGACAAUACUCUGCUGUCAAAUAAUUGCAUGUAGAACACCCUUGGGGCACCAGACGCCAUUCAGAGGUAAAGCAACUCUGUUGUUUUUUUUUUUUUAAGAAGAAGAUGUUCCACGGGUUGCAGAGACACCUGAAAACUUGCAGACCGAACUGGAGCACUGCAAGAAGGAAAAUGGAUCUGAAGACAAGGAGGAGAUACCAUGCAAAUGGCCAAAGACUGAAACAGAGCAAGACUAUGAAGAAUGGAAAAAGAAAA